CCUACGGGAGGCAGCAGUGGGGAAUAUUGCACAAUGGGGGAGACCCUGAUGCAGCAAAGCCGCGUGAAUGAUGACGUCUUUCGGUAUGUAAAGCUCUAUCAGCAGGGGAGAAAAUGACGGUACCUGAGUAAGAAGCCCCGGCUAACUACGUGCCAGCAGCCGCGGUAAUACGUAGGGGGCCAGCGUUAUCCGGAUUUACUGGGUGUAAAGGGAGCGUAGACGGCUGCGUAAGUCUGAAGUGAAAGCCCGGGGCUCAACCCCGGUACUGCUGUGGAAACUGUGUAGCUAGAGUGCUGGAGAGGCAAGCGGAAUUCGUAGUGUAGCGGUGAAAUGCGUAGAUAUUAGGAAGAACACCAGUUGCGAAGGCGGCUUGCUGGACAGCAACUGACGUUGAGGCUCGAAAGCGUGGGGAGCAAACAGGAUUAGAUACCCGAGUAGUC
rnacentral:rRNA from 1 species